GCGAUUUCCGACGGCGUCUGCGGCGGCGUACGGUGGAGGUGAUCGACACUACCAACCCAGAUAGGAAGCCUGCUAUCUUGUGAACAUAACCCAAGAAGAAUCGGAGCCAUCGGAGGUGCGGUGAAGGCACGGUGGCGCCGUGAAGUUGGUUCGUCAACAGUGAAAUCAGCAACUUCAACCGGCAGUUUGAGCGACUUACACUUCGAAUUGGACCUCGAGGUACUGUUGGAGUUUGAGUUGCUCGUUGAGGUUUGAGAUUGAGGUUUCGUUAAGUUGUUGAAGACGU